CGGGAAUAUUGCGCAAUGGAGGAAACUCUGACGCAGUGACGCCGCGUGCAGGAAGAAGGUUUUCGGAUUGUAAACUGCUUUAGACAGGGAAGAAACAAGACAGUACCUGUAGAAUAAGCUCCGGCUAACUACGUGCCAGCAGCCGCGGUAAUACGUAGGGAGCGAGCGUUAUCCGGAUUUAUUGGGUGUAAAGGGUGCGUAGACGGGAAAAUAAGUUAGUUGUGAAAGCCCUCGGCUUAACUGAGGAACUGCAACUAAAACUGUUUUUCUUGAGUACUGGAGAGGAAAGUGGAAUUCCUAGUGUAGCGGUGAAAUGCGUAGAUAUUAGGAGGAACACCAGUGGCGAAGGCGACUUUCUGGACAGAAACUGACGUUGAGGCACGAAAGUGUGGGGAGCAAAC
rnacentral:rRNA from 1 species